rnacentral:rRNA from 1 species
GAGGAACACGUAGCUGACCUACCCUUCGCAGGGGGAUAACUCCGCGAAAGGCUAAUACCGCGUACGUCCAGGGAUUUAGAACCCCUGGAGGAAAGCUCCGGCGCGAAGGGGGGGCUGCGUUCCAUCAGCUAGUUGGUGAGGUAACGGCUCACCAAGGCGACGACGGAUAGGGGACCUGAGAGGGUGACCCCCCACACUGGUACUGACACACGGACCAGACUUCUACGGAAGGCAGCAGUAAGGAAUAUUGCGCAAUGGGCGAAAGUGACGCAGCAACCCGCGUGCGGAAGAAGGGCUUCGGCUCGUAAACCGCUUUUCUGCGGGAAGAGCAAGGACGGUACCGCAGAAUAAGUCUCGGCUAACUACGUGCCAGCAGCCGCGGUAAAACGUAGGAGGCGAACGUUAUCCGGAUUUACUGGGCGUAAAGCGCGUGCAGGUGGUCGGCUAAGUCGUGCGUGAAAGCUCCCUGGCUCAACCGGGAGAGGUCGUGCGAUACUGGCGGACUGGAGACAGAGAGAGGCAAGUGGAAUUCCGGGUGUAGUGGUGAAAUGCGUAGAUAUCCGGAGAACACCAGUGGCGAAGGGGCUUGCUGGCUCUGUUCUGACACUCAGACGCGAAAGAUGGGGAGCGAACGGGAUUAGAAACCCCGGUAGUCCAUGCCGUAAACGAUGCCAACUAGGCGUUGGGGACCUCGAGUUCGCAGUGCCGAAG